GUGAGGAAUAUUGGUCAAUGGGCGCAAGCCUGAACCAGCCAUCCCGCGUGCAGGAAGACGGCGCUAUGCGUUGUAAACUGCUUUUCCAGGGAGAGAAACUUGCGCACGUGUUGCGCAAUUGACGGUACCCUGGGAAUAAGCAUCGGCUAACUCCGUGCCAGCAGCCGCGGUAAUACGGAGGAUGCGAGCGUUAUCCGGAUUCAUUGGGUUUAAAGGGUGCGUAGGCGGACUAUUAAGUCAGUGGUGAAAUCCUGCAGCUUAACUGCAGAACUGCCAUUGAUACUGAUAGCCUUGAGUUUGGUUAAGGUAGGCGGAAUGUGUAAUGUAGCGGUGAAAUGCUUAGAUAUUACACAGAACACCAAUUGCGUAGGCAGCUUACUGAGCCGACACUGACGCUGAGGCACGAAAGCGUGGGGAUCGAACAGGAUUAGAAACCCUGGUAGUCC
rnacentral:rRNA from 1 species